rnacentral:lncRNA from 1 species
CAGCCAUUCUCCACACCCCAGGAGCAAGAAACCCUAGGGUUUCUUGCCGCCAGGUCCAUAAAAGAAAAGAAAAGCAAGGAGGCGCUAGCCCCUUCCCCUUUGCAGUCGCCAGCCAUUUUCUUCUCUCCCUCUCUUGCAGCCACCCAAGCAUCAGGUCCAGGACCUGAAAUCUCUUGAGAAGAGGUUGAUACAAGUCUCUCUCAGAUCUGGAGUUGAUCUGAGGUCGUUUGAG